UUAAUUGAAACCAAAAUAGAGGUAUGUUACUGUUAAUAACAUUAAUGAAUUUAAAUUCCAAUUAAC
rnacentral:tRNA from 1 species